rnacentral:rRNA from 2 species
CUCCUGGUAUUGAUUGGUGCUUGCAUCAUGAUUUACAUUUGAGUGAGUGGCGAACUGGUGAGUAACACGUGGGAAACCUGCCCAGAAGCGGGGGAUAACACCUGGAAACAGAUGCUAAUACCGCAUAACAACUUGGACCGCAUGGUCCGAGUUUGAAAGAUGGCUUCGGCUAUCACUUUUGGAUGGUCCCGCGGCGUAUUAGCUAGAUGGUGGGGUAACGGCUCACCAUGGCAAUGAUACGUAGCCGACCUGAGAGGGUAAUCGGCCACAUUGGGACUGAGACACGGCCCAAACUCCUACGGGAGGCAGCAGUAGGGAAUCUUCCACAAUGGACGAAAGUCUGAUGGAGCAACGCCGCGUGAGUGAAGAAGGGUUUCGGCUCGUAAAACUCUGUUGUUAAAGAAGAACAUAUCUGAGAGUAACUGUUCAGGUAUUGACGGUAUUUAACCAGAAAGCCACGGCUAACUACGUGCCAGCAGCCGCGGUAAUACGUAGGUGGCAAGCGUUGUCCGGAUUUAUUGGGCGUAAAGCGAGCGCAGGCGGUUUUUUAAGUCUGAUGUGAAAGCCUUCGGCUCAACCGAAGAAGUGCAUCGGAAACUGGGAAACUUGAGUGCAGAAGAGGACAGUGGAACUCCAUGUGUAGCGGUGAAAUGCGUAGAUAUAUGGAAGAACACCAGUGGCGAAGGCGGCUGUCUGGUCUGUAACUGACGCUGAGGCUCGAAAGUAUGGGUAGCAAACAGGAUUAGAUACCCUGGUAGUCCAUACCGUAAACGAUGAAUGCUAAGUGUUGGAGGGUUUCCGCCCUUCAGUGCUGCAGCUAACGCAUUAAGCAUUCCGCCUGGGGAGUACGGCCGCAAGGCUGAAACUCAAAGGAAUUGACGGGGGCCCGCACAAGCGGUGGAGCAUGUGGUUUAAUUCGAAGCUACGCGAAGAACCUUACCAGGUCUUGACAUACUAUGCAAAUCUAAGAGAUUAGACGUUCCCUUCGGGGACAUGGAUACAGGUGGUGCAUGGUUGUCGUCAGCUCGUGUC